AGCUAAGGCUCCUGCAGUAGUGGUUUUUUUAGCAGCUGAAUAAUUCCUAUUUGAUUGCAAGCCUGCAGAGGGAAGCUGGGGAAGAAAGGGUCAUGUAUAUGUGACUGAUAUCAAGAUCUGAAAGGUAAACACAGAAGGCACAACACUGCUUGAUCCCACCAGUCAGAAGAUAUAUAAAUAAAGUACAGAGUUUAAAGAAAAAUAAAUGAAAAAAAGAAAAAGAAAUUGUGUCUGUAUAAAGAAACAACAGGAACAGCCUGACUUUGAUCAUGUUUUCACAUUUGAAGUACCCAACCAAUGUGAAAUCCUCGUCAAUAUCAAUGCAGUGGAUCACUAAUCAGUACAGACUGGAGAAGUCCAGGAAAGUGCUCAAAAGCAGCAGGUACAAGCCCUGAUGGAAGCAAAUGAAGAAGAAAACUGAAGCAAAUGCAGAAGACUCAGCUGUUGGAUAAAUUGAAGACAAUCCUUCUAGAGACCUAAUACUAAGGUCUUCUUGUUGACUGCAGAUGACUCAGCUAUGGGAACCAUGGGAGAGAAAGUGAUGCUGGUCCCACGGCACGUUGGUUCAUGGCAUGGGGAAAGACUGAUGCAUGAGACUGAGAUUUUGCUG